rnacentral:rRNA from 1 species
UACGUAGGUGGCAAGCGUUGUCCGGAUUUACUGGGCGUAAAGAGCGCGCAGGCGGUUAUUCAAGUCGAAUGUGAAAGCCCCCCGGCUUUAAACUGGGGGAGGGUCAUUCGAUACUGUUUAACUUGAAGGCAGGAGAGGGUAGUGGAAUUCCCGGUGUAGUGGUGAAAUGCGUAGAUAUCGGGAGGAACACCAGUGGCGAAGGCGACUACCUGGCCUGCUCUUGACGCUGAGGCGCGAAAGCUAGGGUAGCAAACGGG